UACGUAGGGACCAAGCGUUGUCCGGAAUCAUUGGGCGUAAAGAGCGUGUAGGCGGCUUGUUAAGUCUUGCGUGAAAUCUCGGGGCUCAACCCCGAGCGGUCGUGAGAAACUGGCAGGCUAGAGUGCGGGAGAGGAGAGUGGAAUUCCUGGUGUAGCGGUGAAAUGCGUAGAUAUUGGGAGGAACACCAGUGGCGAAGGCGGCUCGCUGGACCGGUCCUGACGCUGAUGCGCGAAAGCGUGGGGAGCAAACGGG
rnacentral:rRNA from 1 species